UUUCCCCCAGGACAGACAGCAGCGAGCCCUGCGGCCUCUCAGACCUCUGCAGGAGCCUCAUGACCAAGCCCGGCUGCUCAGGCUACUGCCUGUCCCACCAACUGCUCUUCUUCCUCUGGGCCAGAAUGAGGGGAUGCACACAGGGACCAUUCCAACAGAGCCAGGACUAUAUCAACCUCUUCUGCGCCAACAUGAUGGACUUGAACCGCAGAGCUGAGGCCAUUGGAUACGCCUACCCUACCCGGGACAUCUUCAUGGAAAACAUCAUGUUCUGUGGAAUGGGCGGCUUCUCCGACUUCUACAAGCUCCGGUGGCUGGAGGCCAUUCUCAGCUGGCAGAAACAGCAGGAAGGAUGCUUCGGGGAGCCUGAUGCUGAAGAUGAAAAAUUAUCUAAAGCUAUUCAAUAUCAGCAGCAUUUUUCGAGGAGAGUGAAGAGGCGAGAAAAACAAUUUUCAG
rnacentral:sRNA from 1 species